rnacentral:misc_RNA from 1 species
GAUGAAGAACGCAGCGAAAUGCGAUAAGUAAUGUGAAUUGCAGAAUUCAGUGAAUCAUCGAAUCUUUGAACGCACAUUGCGCCCGCCAGUAUUCUGGCGGGCAUGCCUGUUCGAGCGUCAUUACAACCCUCAGGCCCCCGGGCCUGGCGUUGGGGAUCGGCGGAAGCCCCCUGCGGGCACAACCCCGUCCCCCAAAUACAGUGGCGGUCCCGCCGCAGCUUCCAUUGCGUAGUAGCUAACACCUCGCAACUGGAGAGCGGCGCGGCCACGCCGUAAAACACCCAACUUCUGAAUGUUGACCUCGAAUCAGGUAGGAAUACCCGCUGAACUUAAGCAUAUCAAUAAGCGGAGGA